AGAGUUUGAUCAUGGCUCAGGACGAGCGCUGGCGGCAUGCCUAAUACAUGCAAGUCGAGCGGACUAUCAGAGAAGCUUGCUUCUCUGAUGGUUAGCGGCGGACGGGUGAGUAACACGUAGGCAACCUGCCCUCAAGUUUGGGACAACUACCGGAAACGGUAGCUAAUACCGAAUAGUUGUUUUCUUCGCCUGAAGGGAACUGGAAAGACGGAGCAAUCUGUCACUUGGGGAUGGGCCUGCGGCGCAUUAGCUAGUUGGUGGGGUAACGGCUCACCAAGGCGACGAUGCGUAGCCGACCUGAGAGGGUGAUCGGCCACACUGGGACUGAGACACGGCCCAGACUCCUACGGGAGGCAGCAGUAGGGAAUCUUCCGCAAUGGGCGAAAGCCUGACGGAGCAAUGCCGCGUGAGUGAUGAAGGUUUUCGGAUCGUAAAGCUCUGUUGCCAGGGAAGAACGCUUGGGAGAGUAACUGCUCUCAAGGUGACGGUACCUGAGAAGAAAGCCCCGGCUAACUACGUGCCAGCAGCCGCGGUAAUACGUAGGGGGCAAGCGUUGUCCGGAAUUAUUGGGCGUAAAGCGCGCGCAGGCGGUCAUUUAAGUCUGGUGUUUAAUCCCGGGGCUCAACCCCGGAUCGCACUGGAAACUGGAUGACUUGAGUGCAGAAGAGGAGAGUGGAAUUCCACGUGUAGCGGUGAAAUGCGUAGAUAUGUGGAGGAACACCAGUGGCGAAGGCGACUCUCUGGGCUGUAACUGACGCUGAGGCGCGAAAGCGUGGGGAGCAAACAGGAUUAGAUACCCUAGUAGUCC
rnacentral:rRNA from 1 species